rnacentral:lncRNA from 1 species
CUUUUUACUUCCUUCUCUUUUUGCCUCCCAUUUCCUUCUUAUUUCCCCUUCCUUUUUUCCUGCUUCCUUCCCUUCCUCUUCCCUCUCUUUUUCAUUCCUCUUCCUUCUUUCCCUCCUUCCCUCCAUCCUGACAGCCUGCGGUGCUCACCACACAGUCCCCACAUCUAGCACACGCAGAACAGCUCCUGUCCUGUGCUCUUCCUCAGGGAUCCAUCUGAUGUUCACCAGAUACAAAAAGACCAUGUGUGGGUAGCACUGACCAAAAGCGUGGACAUAAGACAGUCUGAGGCCAAGAAGAAACUCGGUGGUGAGAAAGGCCUCUGAGAACUGGAACUCACGUUGGGCCUCAACUACAGAGGGAAGAAGAGGAGGGACACCAGAAGUAGCAUGAACAGUAUGUAUAAAGGUCUAAGAACAGGAAGUAAGCCUGUUCUGCCCAAAAUAGAGAGCCAGGAAAUGGUAUGGGCACACGGUGCUCCCAGGGGGCUGUAACUGACUGUGUAGCCUGCCUUUCCUCCUGUGGGAAGCUCUCUUGAGAGCACUUCAGGAUGCAAGACAUCGGGCAACCAAGCAGCUGUGCUUCACAGUUGGACCACACCAAGCUUCUGCCUAUGCAGCCAAUACUAUCAGGGCAGCCCCACCAUCCACCAAGCGCCCUCAGUGAUCUACUGGUGCCACAUCAGGCCCCACCUCUCCACAUCUCCACACUGGAGCCCAAGCUUCCAAUGCCUUGGAAGACUCACUAAAACAAUAUCCAAACCAUGGCAUAUCUCUAGAAAAAUCUCUUCUUGUGGGCUGUGCCAUCAAUUGACUACCUAAGAGAAGUAGGACUUGCUUUCUGUUUCACCUAAAAGCCCCAUUCUUCACUCCACUGGAGACCCUUUUUCUGGAAUUCACGUGUCCUCCCUGGUCAGUAGCAAAGAUCAAACGCCGAAUCAUCAGCCAGUCCUUCUAUAUAAACAAACUAAGGCCCUGAGACAGAAAUGGCAUGGAGUACUACACAGUAAUUGAUGUUAUAAUCAGGAAAAGCAUUACAGGGAGGGGACAGCAAAUUUCCCGUGAAAAGGAGAUGGCUGGGUUGCUGACACAGGCUACAUCAUUGCAGAACCCUGAGAGCAGGGAAGAUGCAGACAGAAUGAAUGUGCAAGCUGAGGCAAUAUGGAGCAGUACCAGCCAUUCUGCAUCGAGAAAGACUGAGACCCAGCCCCUUGGAGCAUCUGAGUGAGCUACAGAGAAAGAGCAACUGCGUUCUCAAACUUAGAGAGCAUCCAGACCCAAGCCAGAGCCUCUCUCUCUGCCUCUGUGUAAAUCUGCUUGCAGCCCAAACCCUUGGAGACAGAUCAGGUGGAUCAAACCAGUUAGGAUGCCAGGCUGGCAACUGGCUGCACUAGUGUGGAACCUAAGGGAUGAAAGGACCAGAAAGAGGAACCAGGGAGACAUCAGGGGAAGUAAUCCCGGGAGGUGAGUGGGUACAGAAUACAAAGAAGCCAGGUGCGAAGGAGGGGAAGGAGCCCAGAGCAGAGUCGCCAUGAAUUUUCCAGAAGCAACAGAGCUGAAGAAGAGAACAUCACUCAACAGCCUCCUAAUAGAGCAGCCUCUCGGAGGCAUUUGGAAUAGAAAGGCAUUGGCUCUAAUGCCUUCUCUGUAGUAGGCGCGUGACCUCGAGCAAAUCAACCUGGACCCUAGUCUCAUUAUUGGAAAGGGAGAUCCCAGCCCCCCAACACAUACACACACACACAGAGAGAAAGAGAGAGAGAGAGAGAGAGAGAGAGAGAGAGAGAGAGAGAGAGAAUAACCAAGGCUCUCGUGAGAUAAUGGAUGUGAACUGAUUUAUCAAGUGCUACACUUCUUCCUAGCAGGCAAUCAAGUGGAGAGUUGGGGCCUGAACGUAAGAGCCUUCCUUACCACAGAAGCGAUUAGGUGUGCUGGGAUGUACUGGGCUGCCUUCCUAAUGGUUCCCAUCCACAUGUGGGGUGAGGUCAACUCCCAGUUGCCUACAAGUCACAUUUGUCAUCUCUGCCGGCUCUGACACCCAUCACCUGUGCGGCAAGUCACCUUUGAACUUCCACUGUGCAGAAGAGGGCAUGGAUCUGGGUGAUCCCAAAUCAUGGCUAUUUGUUAUUGUUACUGUUGUUGUUACAUUUUGAUUUGGUUUGGUUUGGUUUGUUUUUUUUAUGCCAAGCACGGAUCCUGCUGCGGUGUCAUUGAUGGUGAUCACUGGCUGAGAUCUUGGCUUUAGGACCAGUGUAGGUUUUGCUACUUAGAAAUUCCCCUCUGCCUCAUCACGUAGUGGAGAACAAUUAACUUCCCUCCCCAGAGGAGAAGACGGGACUUUCUGUCCCUAAGACCUGGGCCAAUCUUACCCUGAAGCAUGGUGGUUGCAGGUGUUUCUCAGUGGUGCAGGGGCAGGGGCCUUUCUGUCUUGCUCUCAGUUCCCAAUAGGAGGAAGCCUUGGAGGCCAUGGGUACUGUGGUACUGGGUGGGCCUAAGAAAGAUGGGUUAAAAGCCUGAGGAAUGUAGAGAAAAGAACAAGAAGGCGCCUUGGAUGUGCAUCUGAAUCACUGUGUCCCAUCCCCCUGAGCUCUACAGAUGGUCUACGUGGUGAUUUGAAGAAGAAAUGAGCACCCCAGGCUCAGGCAUCUGAACACUUGGUCCCAGUUGGUGACGCCAUUUAGAGAAUUUUAAGAGGUGUAGCCUUGUUGGGGGGUUGUGGGGAGUAUAAGGCUUUGAAAGGAGCCUUACAGACAAUUUGUUUUGCUUGUGCUGCCAUCCCGGCUCCAUGCUGCCAGGCCUUCCCACCCUGGCAGACUCUAACCCCUCUGAAACUGUAAACCAAAAUACACUCCAUUCAAAAGUUGCUCUUGGUCAAGGUGCUUUAUCACAGCAACAGAAAAAUAACUAAUAUGGUUCAGGCCCCAGAAAAUGCCAAAUCAGAUUAUCCAGACCAUAAUAAGCUUAACAGAGACACCAAAGGAUCUCCUCAGCUCAGCAUAGCGUGCACCAGAGCCAUGUCCCUUGGGCCACCUCACUGUGAUUGGAAGCUUGUCUCAGCAAUGACCACACAGCUCACCCACUAAGCUUCUCUUCAUGUUUCAAGGGCUCCUCUUUAUGCCAUGAAUGGUAUUCAUAAGUACUUUACACUCAAGGAAUUGAGGUUCAUGAUGGCCACAACCUCAAGGACAAAUUCUGCACAUUGAACGUGGGAUACCUUCCCUCUACCCCAGUACUACUGACAUUUAGGGCCAGGUAACUUUAUGUGUUAUAGGAUACUGAGUUAUGUCCUAACUUUUCUACCUGCUAGAUGCCAUGAGUGUGUGGGUGGGGCAUUGCUAAUUCCUUAUCUCUGAAUAGUUCUUAUUCAUCUCCCAUAUUAAAACCUGCAGAGAAAAAAAACAGCUGUUAGCCACAUAUUCCCUACUAGAUACCCCUAUCUGCAAAAUCAAAAAAAUGUUUCCAGAUAGUACUAAAUGCUAGAGAUGCAAAAUCUCUCUCAGUCGAAGAGUUUAAAGAGUACAAAGUCUGGGGACAGGGGACAAUCAGGCUACAGGCCUGACUAAGAAAAGUAGACAUUUGUUGUAGCAGGCUUUCUCUCUCCUAGUCCUCUUGGACCCACCUCAUCUCAAACCAAGACAUAUGAUGAAUUGCUAAGGGAUGAUUAGAAGCACACUUCCCCAGGGGACCAUCACUUCGUGCAAAGAAAUUUGGACUUGUGAUCCAAUCAGCUGGUAAAGUCUAUGGGCCACAGAUGCAAGACAUGCUGGAAGGCCAUUAAAGGGCCAUGUGGGAGAGGGGACAAUUUAGAAUCUAAGGGAAGGGACUCAGAAGCAGAGCCCCACUCCUGGGCCCAAAUCACAAAGCCUAAUCAAGCUACUAUUGAUGUCUGUGUGUCCAGUGGAUCUGGUCUCCCAGCGGGUGCUCUCCCUGAUUUCAGAGAGGUCUGUCAAGGUUUAAGCAGAAGCCUAGCUGGUGGAUGAAAGAGCAGAAAACAUCUCUGACUUCCAAAAGAACUAAGGAAAAGAAUUGGCCAUGGGACUAAGGAGAUGGCUCCACAGUUAAAAGAGCUUACUGGUCUUCCAGAAGAUCCAGCUUCAGUUCCUUUCAACCAUGUUGGGUAAUUUACAACCACCUGCAACUCCAGCUCCACGAGAUCCAACUUGCUCUUCUGGCCUCCAUGGGCUCUGACACACACAUGCAUAAAUACACACUGAGAUACACAUCCACAUAAGUAUAAAAUAAAACCAUGCUGAAAAUAAAGAAAACAUUAGCAGUUGGUUUUGGUUUUGGUUUUGGUUUUGAUGUUUUGUUUUGUUUUGUUUUGUUUUGUAUUUUAAGAAAAAAAUCCAGGAAGAUCCUUCUCUAAGCAUCAAGGUUGAGAGAGAGCCUUGUGCCACUGAGGGACUGAAACAAACAAAGCUCAUUAAUGGUCUGGUGAUGGACACAUUGUGCCCAGCAGGACUUAAAGGAAGAAGAGCUUCUGUUUACCUGGGGACACCAGGGAUUCACCAGGGUCACAGGAAAGGAAUUGCUAAUAUCCAUGCUUGUUACUGAUCUGGUGGAGGGACCAGGGAGAAGACGAAGCCCAGUGUCUGGCUAUAGGAUGAGUGCUACACCAGCUUCCUGGCUGAUACACUGGCAAUCCCCACAGGCUGUGGGAAUCACAGCAAACUCCUCCAUUACCAUCUACUGUGGUUUGAAUGAGUGGUGUCCCAAAAACACUCAUGUUUUGAAAGCUUGAUCUCCAGUGUGAUGCCUUCUGGAAAUGAUAGAAGCUUGGGGAGAUAGGAAAUAGCCAGAGGUCUGG